rnacentral:lncRNA from 1 species
CCUUGAAGUUCUAACAUUUGGGGUUCAAGCCUAUUGACGAUUCUCUUGAAGUGGAUCACUUAAUUAUAAGCAGUAAUCAACUCUUCAUCCUUUGCAUAAGCAGCGAAACGAAGCUCAUAAACUACAAACUUAAGAUCUUGAAUCUAAGGUAUGUAACAUCCAAUCUCCUUCUCUGCACUUUCAUACUUAACUUUGAUCGCAUCAAGCCUAGUCUUCAAGUCAACGAUCUCGUGGCAAUCGGUCUUAAGCUGCAGAGAAGUGAGGGCAGAAAUAUUAGACCCCUUCAAAGUAACAAGCUCAGAAU